rnacentral:sRNA from 1 species
GGACCGAACUUCUGCCGUGCGGACAGCAGGAGCGGCGCCGAGCCCCAUUCCCCCACCUCUCCAGCCCGCCCUCUGAGUCUCCCGAGCCCUCUCUCCAUUUCCCACAACUGUGCUGCACAUGGUGAUGAGUUUCCGGGUGUCUGAGCUUCAGGUGCUUCUUGGCUUUGCUGGCCGGAAUAAGAGUGGACGGAAGCACGAGCUCCUGGCCAAGGCUCUGCACCUCCUGAAGUCCAGCUGUGCCCCUAGUGUCCAGAUGAAGAUCAAAGAGCUUUACCGACGACGCUUUCCCCGGAAGACCCUGGGGCCCUCUGAUCUCUCCCUUCUCUCUUUGCCCCCUGGCACCUCUCCUGUAGGCUCCCCUGGUCCUCUAGCUCCCAUUCCCCCAACCCUGUUGGCCCCUGGCACCCUGCUGGGCCCCAAGCGUGAGGUGGACAUGCACCCCCCUCUGCCCCAGCCUGUGCACCCUGAUGUCACCAUGAAACCAUUGCCCUUCUAUGAAGUCUAUGGGGAGCUCAUCCGGCCCACCACCCUUGCAUCCACUUCUAGCCAGCGGUUUGAGGAAGCGCACUUUACCUUUGCCCUCACACCCCAGCAAGUGCAGCAGAUUCUUACAUCCAGAGAGGUUCUGCCAGGAGCCAAAUGUGAUUAUACCAUACAGGUGCAGCUAAGGUUCUGUCUCUGUGAGACCAGCUGCCCCCAGGAAGAUUAUUUUCCCCCCAACCUCUUUGUCAAGGUCAAUGGGAAACUGUGCCCCCUGCCGGGUUACCUUCCCCCAACCAAGAAUGGGGCCGAGCCCAAGAGGCCCAGCCGCCCCAUCAACAUCACACCCCUGGCUCGACUCUCAGCCACUGUUCCCAACACCAUUGUGGUCAAUUGGUCAUCUGAGUUUGGACGGGUGAGCACAGCUAAAGCAGGUGCCUGGAAAAGCCUGCUGAGGGUGAAGGGGAACCAUCCAGUGUCCUGGGCUGGGGAAGCAUUUUUCUCUUUAUGGGUCUGUCCCUGGUCCUCAUGGAACAAAAGUGGGCAGUGGUGGUAUGAGAAGCAGAGGCUAAUUGUCUACCCCCUGCCUCCAAGUAGAAUUACUCCUUGUCUGUGUACCUGGUGAGGCAGUUGACUGCAGGAACCCUUCUACAAAAACUCAGAGCAAAGGGUAUCCGGAACCCAGACCACUCGCGGGCACUGAGUGAGUAACAUCUUUCCUCUCUUCCCCACCUGAUCUGGAUCCAAGUCUUCCU